rnacentral:rRNA from 1 species
UACGAAGGGGGCUAGCGUUGCUCGGAAUCACUGGGCGUAAAGGGUGCGUAGGCGGGUCUUUAAGUCAGGGGUGAAAUCCUGGAGCUCAACUCCAGAACUGCCUUUGAUACUGAAGAUCUUGAGUUCGGGAGAGGUGAGUGGAACUGCGAGUGUAGAGGUGAAAUUCGUAGAUAUUCGCAAGAACACCAGUGGCGAAGGCGGCUCACUGGCCCGAGUACUGACGCUGAGGCACGAAAGCGUGGGGAGCAAACAGGAUUAGA